GACGAACGCUGGCGGCGUGCCUAAUACAUGCAAGUAGAACGCUGAAGAGAGGAGCUUGCUCUUCUUGGAUGAGUUGCGAACGGGUGAGUAACGCGUAGGUAACCUGCCUUGUAGCGGGGGAUAACUAUUGGAAACGAUAGCUAAUACCGCAUAACAAUGGAUGACACAUGUCAUUUAUUUGAAAGGGGCAAUUGCUCCACUACAAGAUGGACCUGCGUUGUAUUAGCUAGUAGGUGAGGUAAUGGCUCACCUAGGCGACGAUACAUAGCCGACCUGAGAGGGUGAUCGGCCACACUGGGACUGAGACACGGCCCAGACUCCUACGGGAAGCAGCAGGAGGGAAUCUUCGGCAAUGGGGGGAACCCUGACCGAGCAACGCCGCGUGAGUGAAGAAGGUUUUCGGAUCGUAAAGCUCUGUUGUAAGUCAAGAACGGGUGUGAGAGUGGAAAGUUCACACUGUGACGGUAGCUUACCAGAAAGGGACGGCUAACUACGUG
rnacentral:rRNA from 1 species